GAGGUUCUUUUUUUAGCGACUCCAGAGUUUCGCAGGAAUGUGGAGGCUGAGAGCAGACAUUACUGUUGUCGAUAUUUCUCUCGACCUGAAAUUUAUGUGGGACACGCAACUCUCACAGCCGUACCAUAUCCGCAGCUGUCUCCAAGUGAAGAGUCUCUAGUCGAUAGAAUAAUGUAGGUAAGGGAAGUCGGCAAAUUAGAUCCGUAACUUCGGGAUAAGGAUUGGCUCUGAAGAUUGAGAUAGUCGGGCUUGAUUGGGAAACAAUAACAUGGUUUAUGUGCUCGUUCUGGGUAAAUAGAGUUUCUAGCAUUUAUGUUAGUUACUUGUUCCCCGGAUAGUUUAGUUACGUAGCCAAUUGUGGAACUUUCUUGCUAAAAUUUUUAAGAAUACUAUUUGGGUUAAACCAAUUAGUUCUUAUCAAUUAUAACGAUUAUCAAUUAACAAUCAAUUCAGAACUGGCACGGACUUGGGGAAUCCGACUGUCUAAUUAAAACAAAGCAUUGUGAUGGCCCUAGCGGGUGUUGACACAAUGUGAUUUCUGCCCAGUGCUCUGAAUGUCAAAGUGAAGAAAUUCAAGUAAGCGCGGGUCAACGGCGGGAGUAACUAUGACUCUCUUAAGGUAGCCAAAUGCCUCGUCAUCUAAUUAGUGACGCGCAUGAAUGGAUUAACGAGAUUCCUACUGUCCCUAUCUACUAUCUAGCGAAACCACAGCCAAGGGAACGGGCUUGGAAUAAUUAGCGGGGAAAGAAGACCCUUUUGAGCUUGACUCUAAUCUGGCAGUGUAAGGAGACAUAAGAGGUGUAGAAUAAGUGGGAGAUAUUAGACCUCGGUUUGGUAUCGUCAAUGAAAUACCACUACUCUUAUUGUUUCCUUACUUACUUGAUUAAAUGGAACGUGUAUCAUUUCCUAGCCAUUAUACGGAUAUAUUUAUUAUAUCUUAUGGUAUUGGGUUUUGAUGCAAGCUUCUUGAUCAAAGUAUCACGAGUUUGUUAUAUAAUCGCAAACAAAUUCUUUAAUAAAACGAUGCAUUUAUGUAUUUUUGUGGGAUCCCC
rnacentral:ncRNA from 1 species